rnacentral:tRNA from 1 species
UGGGCCGUCGACAAGCGGCAAGUCACGGGGCUUUGGUCCCCGCAUCGAAGGUUCGAAUCCUUCCGGCCCAG